GGAUACCUUGGACAGUGUAUGAACGAGCUUAAGUCUUCGCAAGUCUGUUUCGAAGCUCGAAUAACAAACAAUGACUCGAACAAAAACGCGACGCAACUGGAACCUCGAACGACCUCGACGGAUUGAAAGAAUGACCGAACCUCGCCAGAUUUUCGGAACUCGAACUUCGAUUGCGAUUGUGCAGCGAUGAUAUUGAACACAAAUCCUAGCUAAUUCAAAACUUCAUAAACAAGAAGAUAAUAGAGGGGGUCGUUUUUGGUUGCUGCUGUGAGUGCAGGGGCGGCUACUGGUGGUUCGACGGCUGGAGAAUGCUCUGGCAAUGGAGUCGAUCAGGGGAAACCAUUUGGUUCAGAGUCUAGGUCUCGAUGGCUUAGGGUUGUGGUCUUGCUGCUUAGGUUACAUGGGGUUAGGUUGCUAAUUUCUGGCGGUUUGUGGUGGUAGCCGGCGGCUGCUUAGCUAGGUCUUUGUGUUGUCUUCUGCAUUGAAGAAGAAGAUGGGUUAUGGUUUUUGUUUGUUAGGUUGGAGAAGGCUGCUGGGUUUAAGGUCGUUUGGUGUGGCUGGUUCGUUGCUGAAGGUGACGGCUGGUCAGGUUCUUGUUGUAGUGUGCUAGGGUUCCAUUGUUGUGUCCACAUGAAGAUGAAGAAGAAGAUGAAGGCUGCUAGGUUUUCUAGGGCUCCU
rnacentral:lncRNA from 1 species